AACGCGAAGAACCUUACCUACCCUUGACAUGUCCAGAAUCCCCGAGAGAUUGGGGAGUGCCUUCGGGAACUGGAACACAGGUGCUGCAUGGCUGUCGUCAGCUCGUGUCGUGAGAUGUUGGGUUAAGUCCCGCAACGAGCGCAACCCUUGUCAUUAAUUGCCAUCAUCCAGUUGGGCACUUUAAUGAGACUGCCGGUGACAAACCGGAGGAAGGUGGGGAUGACGUCAAGUCCUCAUGGCCCUUAUGGGUAGGGCUUCACACGUCAUACAAUGGUCGGUACAAAGGGUUGCCAAGCCGCGAGGUGGAGCUAAUCUCAGAAAGCCGAUCGUGGUCCGGAUCGUAGUCUGCAACUCGACUACGUGAAGUCGGAAUCGCUAGUAAUCGUGGAUCAGCAUGUCACGGUGAAUACGUUCCCGGGUCUUGUACACACCG
rnacentral:rRNA from 1 species